rnacentral:sRNA from 1 species
UACGAGCUAGCCUCCGGAUGAACUCCUU